UACGUAGGGGGCGAGCGUUGUCCGGAGUUACUGGGCGUAAAGGGCACGCAGGCGGUGCGGCGCGUUUCGCGUGACAGCGGAGGGCUUAACUCUCCGAGGAUGCGAAAGACGGCGGCACUUGAGGGCCAGAGAGGGACACGGAAUUCCGGGUGGAGUGGUGAAAUGCGCAGAUAUCAGGAAGAACACCCGUGGCUAAGGCGGCUCUCUAGUACGGUACUGACGCUGAGACGCGAAAGCGUGGGGAGCGAACAGG
rnacentral:rRNA from 1 species